rnacentral:rRNA from 1 species
GGUUAAGCGACUAAGCGUACACGGUGGAUGCCCUGGCAGUCAGAGGCGAUGAAGGACGUGCUAAUCUGCGAUAAGCGCCGGUAAGGUGAUAUGAACCGUUAUAACCGGCGAUUUCCGAAUGGGGAAACCCAGUGUGACUCGUCACACUAUCAUUAACUGAAUCCAUAGGUUAAUGAGGCGAACCGGGGGAACUGAAACAUCUAAGUACCCCGAGGAAAAGAAAUCAACCGAGAUUCCCCCAGUAGCGGCGAGCGAACGGGGAGGAGCCCAGAGCCUGAAUCAGCAUGUGUGUUAGUGGAAGCGUCUGGAAAGGCGCGCGAUACAGGGUGACAGCCCCGUACACAAAAGCGCAUGUGCUGUGAGCUCGAUGAGUAGGGCGGGACACGUGGUAUCCUGUCUGAAUAUGGGGGGACCAUCCUCCAAGGCUAAAUACUCCUGACUGACCGAUAGUGAACCAGUACCGUGAGGGAAAGGCGAAAAGAACCCCGGCGAGGGGAGUGAAAAAGAACCUGAAACCGUGUACGUACAAGCAGUGGGAGCACCCUUUGGGGUGUGACUGCGUACCUUUUGUAUAAUGGGUCAGCGACUUAUAUUCUGUAGCAAGGUUAACCGAAUAGGGGAGCCGGAGGGAAACCGAGUCUUAACCGGGCGUUAAGUUGCAGGGUAUAGACCCGAAACCCGGUGAUCUAGCCAUGGGCAGGUUGAAGGUUGGGUAACACUAACUGGAGGACCGAACCGACUAAUGUUGAAAAAUUAGCGGAUGACCUGUGGCUGGGGGUGAAAGGCCAAUCAAACCGGGAGAUAGCUGGUUCUCCCCGAAAGCUAUUUAGGUAGCGCCUCGUGAAUUCAUCUCCGGGGGUAGAGCACUGUUUCGGCUAGGGGGCCAUCCCGGCUUACCAACCCGAUGCAAACUGCGAAUACCGGAGAAUGUUAUCACGGGAGACACACGGCGGGUGCUAACGUCCGUCGUGAAGAGGGAAACAACCCAGACCGCCAGCUAAGGUCCCAAAGUCAUGGUUAAGUGGGAAACGAUGUGGGAAGGCCCAGACAGCCAGGAUGUUGGCUUAGAAGCAGCCAUCAUUUAAAGAAAGCGUAAUAGCUCACUGGUCGAGUCGGCCUGCGCGGAAGAUGUAACGGGGCUAAACCAUGCACCGAAGCUGCGGCAGCGACGCUGAUGCGUUGUUGGGUAGGGGAGCGUUC